GGUUCUCUCAUCCAUCCUUUCACCAUAAAAAAAACCCUCAUCCUCACCAAUUCCUCUAAAUUCCUUGAUCAAAUACCACAUGCAAGAAAUUAAAGUUAGGUAAUUCAUUCUAAGAUUGAGGAGGCUGAGAUAAUGAAGAUUCAAGGAGUAUUAUGGAGAGAAGAGUGAAGAAGAAAUUAGGGCUUCAAGGAAUUUAGAAGAUCUCGGAAAGCUAGAGAUUUAAGGAGAAUCAUGAGCAAUGGAAGUAGGAGUAGCAUCAUCAAAGAAGAUUAGAGGUGGAUUUCCUCUUUUCCCUCGUUCACUCAUGCAUAAACUUAUAUUUAUAAUUUUGUGAUCAUGGGUUUAAAAUUAGAAGAGGAAAACAUUAGAUUCAUGAUGCAUGCAUAAUAGAUUUUGGAAUAAAAAUGUUUCAUGUUUAGAUUGUGUAAACUAAUUUAAUUAAUCAUAAGUGAAUGAUAAUAAUGUUUAAUUUCAUUAUUGAUUUCUG
rnacentral:lncRNA from 1 species